CAGGCAAGAGUACUGGAGUAGGGUGUCAUUGCCUUCUCUCUCUCUCUCUCUCGCUAUAUAUAUAUAAACAGACCUUUAAUACAGUGUGGUUGGACCUAAAUGGUGAAUGGUCUAGGGCACUGGGGACAGAAGUCAAGCCAUCAGUAGGCUGUCUGAGACUGCUGCUGGUGGUAGCCACCCCAGCGCAUGUAGCCUUCAUUUUUCCUGUAGCCAUCUUUCUGGAAUCGGAAGUAGCCACCACAGGUACCCUGCUUGUGGUCAAACACCCGCUUGUUCUCCACCAGGCUGCCCAGGUUCUCGGCCAGCUGCAGGGCAAGGUUCUGCUGGGCAGUGGGCUCUGUGCAGUGCAUCACCACGGGCUGUGACGGCUGGUCCAGGAAGCCAUCAACUCCUCAUUAAUGAUCAUCUUGCUGAUGAUGGAGUGUACCAUGAGUGGGUCCAGCUCAAACAUGUCAGACAGCAUCUCCAUGCUGAUGGAGUUGUAGACACUGCUAUAGGUGAAUAGGUAGGUCCACAAUGACUCUUCCUGGACCUUCCUAACUAGCAUGGUUCUGACUUUGUUGGCCUCUGGGGAAAGGUCCCACACUUUGCCAUUCAUCUUCUCAUUGAUGAUAAAACUGUGGCAGGUUUUCCAGUCACCCAUCUUCAUGGCCUUGGAAGCAGGAAGCACAUGUUCCCUCAUGGACUUCAGGGGGCCCAGCAAGGGCUGCCGUUCACCCACCCACAGCUAGUGAUGGAACUGCUUGCUGAUCAUGCGUCAGUGGGUGUCACUGUCAUGGGCAGCAAUGGGAUCUCCAGGAUCAUGACCGACACCAGUGAUGAAGACCCAAGAUGGGAGCUGACUGUGGCUCAGAUCAUGAACUCCUUAUUUGCCAAAUUCAGACUUCAGUUGAAGAAAGUAGUGAAAACCACUAGACCAUUCAGGUAUGACUUAAAUAAAAUCCAUUAUGAUUCUACAAUGAAAGUGAUAAAUAGAUUCAAGGGAUUAGGUCUCCUAGACAGAGUGCCUGAAGAACUAUGGAUGGAGGUUUGUGACAUUGUACAAGAGACAGUGAUCAAGACAAUCCCCCACCCCCCACAAAAAAUGCAAAAAGGCAAAGUGGUUGUCUAAGGAGGCCUUAACAAAUAGCUGAGAAAAGAAGAGAAGCAAAAGGCAAAGGAGAAGAGGAAAGGUAUACCCAUUUGAAUGAAGAGUUCCAAAGAAUAGCAUAGAGAGAUAAGAAAGCCUACCUCAGUGAUCAGUGCAAAGAAAUAGAGGAAAACAAUAGAAUGGGAAAGACUAGAGACUUCAUCAAGAAAAUUAGAGAUACCAAGGGAACAUUUCAUGCAAAGACAGGCACAAUAAAGGACAGAAACAGUAUGGACCUAACA
rnacentral:lncRNA from 1 species